rnacentral:lncRNA from 1 species
AUGCCAGAGCUGUGGCACACAGUUUUGCCUCUGCUGAGAGAGUGUUAUCAAAACCAUCAAUGCCGUUGUGUUACUUACCAAGCCCUGCUUACCUGUGCACUCCUGUGUUACUCACACACCUGUGGCAGGUCCAGCGGCAGCAGGUCAGGGAGCAGACACCUUGCAUUUCACAGCAGAAGUGUGGACAGCACUGGUGUUGGCCUGCCUCUAAUGAGUCAGCUGAACUGCUCGAAAGGAGAGAGAUUACAUACAACAGGAUAAUGCAUGAUCUCGGGCAGUAACUCUGGGGACUUCCUUUUAGUGUGUGCUGCAAGAGCAGCUGGUGAUGCACGUGAACUGUUGGGGCAGAAAGCAGGAGUUUUCUCAGUCUCUGAUUUGCUGUUUGUCACAUGGCAGUCAGCGGAUCCCAUUUGCCUUACGACGUCCAAGUGAAAUUCUCCUUGAGUGGAGUCUAAUCUGUGCUUGGUUAUAAUAACCUGUGCAAACACCGGCUGAAUUUGACACUACAAAAAAGAGCCUCCCACGUGCUGUUAAGAGUUGCAGUUGUUGAAAACAAACACUGGAAGCAGUUUUUGAAUGUCCAGAGAUGCAUCAUGCAAAUUUUAAAAGCCCUUCUUCAGUAAAAUGUAGCAUAAUCACCGACUAUAGCAAUGCUGUGCAAAAAUGCAGAACAUUUCUCUGAAGAAUCGGAUCUUCUGGUCUGAACAGAGACUCUCCGGUGCACUUGUUUUCCAGCAUUUUGGGGAUUUUGCCUGAGAGCAGCACAAGGUCUGUUUAACUUCAUUUCCUUCAGGCAGAGAUUUAAACAAUAUUAGGAGCAGACUGCCCUGGCCUGGAGGAAACUCACAGUGUUGUUUUUAACACCGCCUGCCAAAGCCCGAGAUGCUCCAACUUUACCCCAACAGGGAGACAGAGGAAGGAGAAGGAGCUGUAAUGGCAGAUGGCAACCCACGAGGAGGCGAGAGCUACACGCUGCACUUUGGCAACUGGUGACAAGGACAACUUUACAGUAACCUAGUUUGCCUAUAAAGGGAUGAGGCUUAUUUGCCACUUUUCCCCCCCCCCCAUCUUCAGUCAGAUCAUUGCUUAAAAAAAAUAAAAAAAAAUUAAUUGACUUACCUCUGGGAAGC